rnacentral:pre_miRNA from 1 species
UAGGAUGACCAACUGUCCCGGUUUGCCUAAGACUCAGAGGUUUUCUGGGAUGUAAAAACAAUGUACUAAAACAAUCUUGGGCAAACUGGGACAGUUGGUCACCCUAACAAGGA